CCUACGGGCGGCUGCAGUGGGGAAUAUUGGACAAUGGGCGAAAGCCUGAUCCAGCCAUGCCGCGUGUGUGAAGAAGGCCUUCGGGUUGUAAAGCACUUUCAGUGGGGAAGAAAGCCUUGGGGCUAAUACCCUCGAGGAAGUACAUCACCCACAGAAGAAGCACCGGCUAACUCCGUACCAGCAGCCGCGGUAAUACGGAGGGUGCGAGCGUUAAUCGGAAUUACUGGGCGUAAAGCGCGCGUAGGCGGUCUGAUAAGCCGGUUGUGAAAGCCCCGGGCUCAACCUGGGAACGGCAUCCGGAACUGUCAGGCUAGAGUGCAGGAGAGGAAGGUAGAAUUCCCGGUGUAGCGGUGAAAUGCGUAGAGAUCGGGAGGAAUACCAGUGGCGAAGGCGGCCUUCUGGACUGACACUGACGCUGAGGUGCGAAAGCGUGGGUAGCAAACAGGAUUAGAUACCCUAGUAGUC
rnacentral:rRNA from 1 species